AGUAAGCGGUCACACAAAGACGAGAAGAGUGGAGCUUCAGAAGCUUAGACAACGGGAAGCAAGGGAAGAAGUCCGGGCGCAAAAAUAUUGUGACCUUUACAGGGCGAGAAGCAGAAACGCGGAUAUAGUCACUCAGAGUUAUCUCCAGAGCAUCCAUGAUCACCUCUCCCCCGAGAUGCAGCGAAUCGCUUCCAUCCAGCACAUCCCGUCAGAGCCUGCCAUCCCCUUCACCGACUCCUCCAACACCAACACGGACACCAUGACGACCCUUCAAACAACCAUGGACGAAAUCCCUUCAAAGACCAUAGACUCCAUCGAUGGCAUGACAAAGGUCGAGGAGGGCGAGAUCGUGGAGGUAUAACGGGAAAUGUGUUUCCAUCCCAUUAGCUUGUUUUAGGCCGUCUCUCGUCCCUAUUAUCACUAUCCAUCAGCACCGUUGCCAUGGCGACACUUGAAGCCCGCAAGGAGGAAAUUCCUUCCAAGACAAUGAGAGUCCAUCGAGAGGAUGACUAAGAAGAUCGUGAUUGAGGGGUUAUAUGUAUAUCAAGGAAUUCCGAUUAGGGGUAUGGACUUAGCCUUGAUGAUGAAACUUUUGCCCCCUUCUUGCAAUCCAUCAUCUGCAUCGUUGCCAGGGCAACCCUUCCAAUCAGCCGAUGAUGAAUGAUGUCCCCUCUUGACCCCCUCCCCGGGAUCUGACUCAGGUGUAGGGAAGAGAGACCAUUGAGGAGCUACUAGCGAUGUUAAGCGAUCCGGUGAUGAGCGACAUUAUCAUUUCGACGCUUUAUCCAAGGAAAUGGCAUCUAGUGUGGUCCGCGUUAGUUUAUCAGUCAGUUUAAAAUGUUAGGAAGAAUACAACGUCAAUGGAUCAUUUAAGACAACUUCUUCCGGUGAUGUGUUUAAUACUCAUGGAGGUGACUGUGCUGGACAUCCAUCUUAAACGUGUACUUAUCAGAGAUGUGAUCGUCUCUACUCUGAAGAACAUUAAUUCAAAAGAAAAAAUAAAACGUAAGGAUGGAGAUGAAAUUAGGGGAUGAUGAAUAGGGAUCAAGUUUUACUAAUUCAUAGGUUGUCACAAAGAUUUUCAAAUAAUCAAAAUUAAUCAAAUAGGGUCCAGAUAAGGAACUACAGAUUCUUCGUGCAAAAGGAGAAAUCAUACAGCACUUUUUGUUUUGAUUUCCAAAUAUAAAUUUUACGUCAAAUGUACCUUCAGAAAAUUGAAAACUUCUUGUACAAAUACAAUAAAUGUAUUAACCGAUAUUAAAGGAAAAGGGAAACUUAGAUAAUAAUUUUAAAAAAAAACAAUAACUUGUAGGGUGAAAGUUCCCGAAAACUACAACACCAAAAAAAGGUAAUUAUAUUGUCCCCUUUCAGAGCGAAAAGUGACUAUGCAUUUAUAUCCAAACACACAACACAUGUAGCAUCUGUCUUCAGAUGAGGCUGGCAUCCCGUGUAAGAAUAACAACUGUAUAUAUAUACUUUUCAAUUUUAUUCAACAUGGGAGUGCUAUACAAGACAAAAGUACUUUCAAAUACGAGGUGCAAACAUGAUAAAAAAAUAAUCAUUUGUCGGCAAGGUCCAUUUUUGUUACUCAAUUGAAUAGCGCGCAGAGGUGUAAAUAUUUUUUGCUGUUCACUUGCUGAAAUGAUGUGGAUUUUCUGCAGUCUCAUUUGCAUUUAUGGAUAAUUUAUCACUGGAGGAAUUCAUUGCUACGAUUUUAUUAUAAAAAAAAAACAAUUUAAGCUUACAAGUAUUCAGCGAUUACAUGCAUAGGGAGAAAAAAGAGUUGAGUUGCCUUAGAUAUAUUUUAAUAGCAAAAGAAUCUGUCCAUUUAUUUGCGAUGUGUGAAAAGUAUUUUAUUUUGAGAGAAAAGAAAAGUACAUUCAUUAUUUUGUAAGUACUGGAUGAUCUCAGUGUAUCUGUGAUUCUGUGAAGAAAAAACAUAGCACCUAUCAUCUUGCAAUGAAAUGUUAUAGCUGCCUUUAGAAUAGAUGUAUUCAGAGUUUGGUGAAAACAGAAAGUGAUUUCUGGAUUUCUGUUAAUAGCCUAGAAACAAUGAUCUACCUGGUGAUUUGUCUUUUUUCUAUGUGUAUUGCAAUUUCAAAUGUUUCAGGUGUAUGAUUUCUGCCAGAUUAUUACGCAUCAUAGAUUUAUCAAAGACUCGUGUGAUACAAACUAUCCUAGAAACUAGUGUUUUUUAUUGAAAAGGAUUGUCAUCUUGUCCGUGUUUUGGCCUGUGAGUUUAUUAUGUUGAAAUAUUGUAUGACUUAAAGCUGUGCAAUUACCAGUGUUCCUUGUGGGUUAUUAUUUUUGUUUUGUUUUUUUUUCUCGAAUAUAUUUGGUGUAAUUAUAAAGGCACUCGUUGAAGAUAUACAUGUACUGUGCAUGCUUAUCUUAUUGGUGUUGGGGGUGUUACUUGUAUUGGCAGUGAAUAGUGUAUACAUAUUCACAUUGAAAUAUAACUGUGCUGUUGUUUUGUGAUGACAUCUGUUUGUGGUUAUUUGAAAUUGUUCAUUUUUUUUAUUGUUUUCGUAUGCCUUCUCACAAGUGCACUUCAAACUAGAAUUGGGACCAAGAUGCUACUCUUAAUGCUCAUAACCUUUUAAGUGUAUGGUUUCAUGCAUAAAAAUUGUUUGGUAUUCAUUUACUGAUACCUCAGUCACAUGUGUUCUACAGUGACCGUACGACAAGUCGAAAACAGCCGUUUUAACAUUUUUUGUACCAGCUAGAUAUAGGUGGUUUGAAUAAAUAUUAUUAAAACGGCUGUUUUCAACUCAGCGUACGGCCGCCGUAGAGCAAAUGUGACUGAGGUAUGAGACACUCAAAAUUAAGCCAUGAGAUAGUAUUAAUACCCCACAUUUGACUAUUCAAUAAAACAAAUUGUAUGACCUGCAACACCAGCAGUACUCAAGAACUCCCUUAAAAUAUGAAGGUUGGUUUUGUCCCAUCCAAAUGAUUUGUAUUUUUCAUAAAGAUAUUAGACAUUACAAAAAAAUAAGGCUGAUAUUUUUCACUCUUUUUCAGAUUUUUUUUAUGAUGCCCUGUAGUAUCUUGCCAUUCUCUAAACUAAAUAUUUGUAAAAUUUUAGAAAAAAAAGUGAUAAAUGCUUUAUGGUCCUGAUGGACCCGGCGAAACACAAAUUUUGUAAAACCAUUAGUAACCUAUCCAGUCUGCUCUGAAAUGGCAUUUUCUAACUAUAUAUCUCAAUUUUUGUAUUCAUCAUGGUAUUUAGUGCAUUUUUUGUAAUGCUAUUCAAUCUGUGAAGGGAAGAACUAGUCAACUUUGUAUAUUCGGAAAGAAGAACAAGAUUAUGAUGGGAUUUAAAUUUUUUUAGGUUUUUUAAUAAAUGUCAGAAAGUUU